rnacentral:rRNA from 1 species
ACGCUGGCGGCGUGCCUAACACAUGCAAGUCGAACGGAGAUAUGAUUUCGGUUGUAUCUUAGUGGCGAACGGGUGAGUAACGCGUGAACAACCUGACUCUAAGAGGGGGAUAACACUCGGAAACGGGUGCUAAUACCGCAUAAGACCACGACCUGGCAUCAGGAUGAGGUCAAAGGAGCAAUCCGCUGAGAGAGGGGUUCGCGUCCCAUUAGAUAGAUGGCGGGUAACGGCCCACCAUGUCAACGAUGGGUAGCCGAGCUGAGAGGCUGAUCGGCCACACUGGAACUGAGACACGGUCCAGACUCCUACGGGAGGCAGCAGUGGGGAAUAUUGGGCAAUGGGCGCAAGCCUGACCCAGCAACGCCGCGUGAGGGAAGAAGGCUUUCGGGUUGUAAACCUCUGUCCUUGGUGACGAAACAAAUGACGGUAGCCAAGGAGGAAGCCCCGGCUAACUACGUG